rnacentral:lncRNA from 1 species
UCCGUUUUCUGUAUCUCACUUCCGCAAUGGUCCCCACCUUGCCUGGAGACCAAGCUUUCUUUGCAGGCCUCAUCAAGUGUGCUUGUGGCUUCAUCAAUACAAUCAGGUGCCUCUGGGGGACAGGUUGAAAGUCACACCAAGUCUGCUGGUUCUACACUAGCAGAGAUGAAGUUUGGGUUGACAGAUUCCCAGUGAGAAUGCCAGCAUCUGCUCUUCAACAUCCCAUGGCUGACCAGCUCCUUUACCUGCUAUAUUUUAAAUUUGGAAGCAAUUAAUUUGGAGGAGGAAAGAGUCUAAGUAAGAUGCCUAACAGAUCUUGGUGCGUUGACAACCUUGAAACUUGAUGUUAAUGGACAGGUACAAAGAUGAAGAUGAGCUGAACAGUCUUAGUGGUUGAAGCUGCUGCAUGUAAGAUAAGCAUGUUAAAUCCAUGCCAUGUAUACUGCAAAUCCCAAUCCUGUGCACAAAGCAGGCAUUGCUAAGAAGACCCUGCUGUAUUUAAAAAGCCUAGAUGCACUGAUAGAACCCUCAACACAGGACUCCAGCCAUGGACUACCAUUGGUUCAGAGCUGCCAGUCCAGUAGUAGCUUAUGCAUCACCUACGGUAGAGUGGAAACUCUCCUGCACACGCCAGUCACUCCAAGGGCACUUUAAUUAAAACCACACAAAAUUUUUGUAGAUAACAAUAAACUUGAUUAUGGAUAAAUCAUGAAAUCAAUAAAUAUAGAG